AUUGAACGCUGGCGGCAGGCCUAACACAUGCAAGUCGAGCGGAUGAAGGGAGCUUGCUCCUGGAUUCAGCGGCGGACGGGUGAGUAAUGCCUAGGAAUCUGCCUGGUAGUGGGGGAUAACGUCCGGAAACGGGCGCUAAUACCGCAUACGUCCUGAGGGAGAAAGUGGGGGAUCUUCGGACCUCACGCUAUCAGAUGAGCCUAGGUCGGAUCAGCUAGUUGGUGAGGUAAAGGCCUACCAAGGCGACGAUCCGUAACUGGUCUGAGAGGAUGAUCAGUCACACUGGAACUGAGACACGGUCCAGACUCCUACGGGAGGCAGCAGUGGGGAAUAUUCGACAAUGGGCGAAAGCCUGAUCCAGCCAUGCCGCGUGUGUGAAGAAGGUCUUCGGAUUGUAAAGCACUUUAAGUUGGGAGGAAGGGCAGUAAGUUAAUACCUUGCUGUUUUGACGUUACCAACAGAAUAAGCACCGGCUAACUUCGUG
rnacentral:rRNA from 1 species